rnacentral:rRNA from 1 species
GCCGAACUCUGGCGGCGUGCUUAACACAUGCAAGUCGAACGGUACGGGCCUUCGGGGUACACGAUUGGCUAACGGGUGAGUAACACGCUGCUCAUCUGCACUUCUCUUUGGGAUAAGUCUGGUAAACUGGGACUACUACCGGUUAGCCCACUUGCCUGCAUGGGAGGUGGGGGAAAGCCUUUGCGGUGUGGGCUGGGCCCGCGGCCUAUCAGCUUGUUGGGGGGGUGAUGGCCUACCAAGGCGACGACGGGUAGCCGGCCUGUGCGGGUCACCGGCAACACUGGGACUGAGCUACGGCCCAGACUCCUACGGGAGGCAGCAGUGGGGAAUAUUGCACAAUGGGCGCAAGCCUGAUGCAGCGACGCCGCGUGAGGGAUGACGGCCCUCGGGUUGUAAACCUCUUUCAGCAUCGACGAAGCGCAAGUGACGGUAGGUGCAGAAGAAGGACCGGCCAACUACGUGCCAGCCGCCGCUGUAA